rnacentral:rRNA from 1 species
GAUGAACGCUGGCGGCGUGCCUAAUACAUGCAAGUCGAGCGAACGGACGAGAAGCUUGCUUCUCUGAUGUUAGCGGCGGACGGGUGAGUAACGCGUGGAUAACCUACCUAUAAGACUGGGAUAACUUCGGGAAACCGGAGCUAAUACCGGAUGAUAUUUUGAACCGCAUGGUUCAAAAGUGAAAGACGGUCUUGCUGUCACUUAUAGAUGGAUCCGCGCUGCAUUAGCUAGUUGGUAAGGUAACGGCUUACCAAGGCAACGAUGCAUAGCCGACCUGAGAGGGUGAUCGGCCACACUGGAACUGAGACACGGUCCAGACUCCUACGGGAGGCAGCAGUAGGGAAUCUUCCGCAAUGGGCGAAAGCCUGACGGAGCAACGCCGCGUGAGUGAUGAAGGUCUUCGGAUCGUAAAACUCUGCUAUUAGGGAAGAACAUAUGUGUAAGUAACUGUGCACAUCUUGACGGUACCUAAUCAGAAAGCCACGGCUAACUACGUG